rnacentral:rRNA from 1 species
AUUGAACGCUGGCGGCAGGCCUAACACAUGCAAGUCGAACGAGUGGCGGACGGGUGAGUAAUGUCUGGGAAACUGCCUGAUGGAGGGGGAUAACUACUGUAAACGGUAGCUAAUACCGCAUACUAUCAGAUGUGCCCAGAGGGGAUUAGCUUGUUGGGGGGGUAACGGCUCACCAAGGCGCCGAUCCCUAGCUGGUCUGAGAGGAUGACCAGCCACACUGGAACUGGGCCACGGGCCAGACUCAUACGGGAGGCAGACGGGGGGAAUAUUGGACAAUGGGCGAAAGCCGGAUGCAGCAAGGCCGCGUGUAUGAAGAAGGCUUUCGGGUUGUAAAGUACUUUCAGCGGGGAGGCGUUACCCGCAGAAGAAGCACCGGCUAACUCCGUGCCAGCAGCCGCGGUAAUAC